rnacentral:rRNA from 1 species
CAGUAGCCACGGUAAUGCGGAGGGCGCGAGCGUUACCCGGAUUUACUGGGCGUAAAGGGCGUGUAGGCGGCCUGGGGCGUCCCAUGUGAAAGGCCACGGCUCAACCGUGGAGGAGCGUGGGAUACGCUCAGGCUAGAGGGUGGGAGAGGGUGGUGGAAUUCCCGGAGUAGCGGUGAAAUGCGCAGAUACCGGGAGGAACGCCGAUGGCGAAGGCAGCCACCUGGUCCACUUCUGACGCUGAGGCGCGAAAGCGUGGGGAGCAAACCGGAUUAGAUACCCCGGUAGUCCCUGUCUCUUAUAC